GAACCGGAGGAAGGUGGCGGAUGACGUCAAAUCAUCAUGCCCCUUAUGACCUGGGCUACACACAUGCUACAUUGGAUGGGACAAGGGGGUGCAAGACCGGGAGGUUUAGCCAAUCCCAUAAAACCUUUCUCAGUUCGGAUUGUAGGCUGCAACUCGCCUACUUGAAGCCGGAAUCGCUAGUAAUCGCGGAUCAUCAUGCCGCGGUGAAUACGUUCCCGGGCCUUGUACACACCGCCCGUCACACCACGAGAGUUUGUAACACCCGAAGUCGGUGGGGUGACGGUAAGGAGCCAGCCGCCUAAGGUGGGACAGAUGAUUGGGGUGAAGUAGUAACAAGGUAGCCGUAUGGUAAGGUGCGGCUGGAUCACCUCCUUUCUAAGGA
rnacentral:rRNA from 1 species